CAGCUCGUGUUCGACUCGUGUUCGGCUUGAUAUUCGGCUCGCUCGAGCUCGGCUCGAAUUAAUUUCAAAUAAGCUUAAGCCUAAAUUUAGGCUCGAAAUUAAUUUCAAGCCGAGCUUGAGUAUUACUCGGCUUGCUCGAAUUAAGCUUGAAAAGCUCGAAAUAUAUAUACAUAUAUAUAUAUAGUCUGCUAUACUAUUAAUAGUACCAACCACUUGCUAUUAGGUUUUCGACCUUUGGAUGAAGGAAUGUGCGGCUAGAAUGACAGUGAUCCUCUAGGGUUGAGUGUGUGGUUAGUUGAAUAAUAUGAUCUAACGGCACAAAAUUCGAUAGUACCAAGCAUUUAGUAUUAUCAAUAAUAUAUAUAUAGUCCAGCUGCUAUACUAUCUAUACUAUCUAUAGUACUAAGUGUUUUGUACUAUUGAGUUUUUUGCCGUUAGAUCUGGCUAUAUAUAUAUAUAUAUAUAUAUAUAUAGAGUUCGGCUAUUAUACUAUCGAUAGUACCAAGCAUUUAGUGCUAUCGAGUUUUCUGCUGUUAGAUCUAUCUCUUUAGCUAUUUUCAUCCGUUAGAUCAUAAUAUUCAACUAGUCACCCACUCAACCCUAGGGGCUACUAUCAUCCUAACCACACAUUCUUUCAUCCAAGGGCCGAAAAUCUAAUAGUAAGCGGUCUAUGCUAUUAAUAGUAUAGUAGCCUAAUUCUAUAUAUAUAUAUGCUCGUGCUACUAUACUCUUAUAAGUAUAAACCCCUUUAUACUUAUAAAUUUUCAGUCGUUGGAUAUAUGAUUAGAAUGAUAGUGGUCUCCUAAGAUUGAGUCAGUGGUUCGUUGAAUAGUAUGAUUUAACGAAUAAAAAUGGUCAAAAUCCUACUCUAAUUGCUCUCUUUCUCUCUUUUUCCCUUUCUCGCAGAGUCGCUUUUCCUAAUUAUUUUAGUAUUAUAAUAUCGUAUUUCAUGCAUUUAUUUUAUAUGUUAAACUAUUAGAUAUUUUUUAUAUCAAAUUUUAGAUAAUAUUUUAUAAAAAUUAAAGUAUAGAUUGCAUGA
rnacentral:lncRNA from 1 species